GAAUAUUGGACAAUGGGCGCAAGCCUGAUCCAGCAACGCCGCGUGGAGGACGAAGGCCUUCGGGUCGUAAACUCCUGUCAGGCGGGACGAAGGUGUGAGGGUAAAUAAUCCUUACGCUUGACGGUACCGUCAGAGGAAGCCCCGGCUAACUCCGUGCCAGCAGCCGCGGUAAAACGUAGGACACAAGCGUUAUCCGGAGUUACUGGGCGUAAAGGGCGUGUAGGCGGACGUGUAAGUCUAUUCUGAAAGCUCCUGGCUAAACUGGGAGAGGCGAAUGGAGACUGUAUAUCUAGAGUGAGGAAGAGGAAAGUGGAAUUCCGCGUGUAGUGGUGAAAUGCGUAGAGAUGCGGAGGAACACCAGUGGCGAAAGCGACUUUCUGGUCCUUAACUGACGCUGAGGCGCGAAAGCAUGGGGAGCGAAC
rnacentral:rRNA from 1 species